UACGUAGGGGGCGAGCGUUGUUCGGAAUUACUGGGCGUAAAGGGCUCGUAGGCGGCCGACUAAGUCAGACGUGAAAUCCCUCGGCUUAACCGGGGAACUGCGUCUGAUACUGGACGGCUUGAGUUCGGGAGAGGGAUGCGGAAUUCCAGGUGUAGCGGUGAAAUGCGUAGAUAUCUGGAGGAGCACCGGUGGUGAAGACGGUCUCCUGGGCCGAGGGCCGACGCUGAGGCGCGAGAGCGUGGGGAGCGAACCGG
rnacentral:rRNA from 1 species